AUUGAACGCUGGCGGCGUGCCUAACACAUGCAAGUCGAGCGGUAACAGGUGUAGCAAAACAUGCUGACGAGCGGCGGACGGGUGAGUAACGCUUGGGAAUCUGCCUGUUAGUGGGGGACAACCCGGGGAAACUCGGGCUAAUACCGCAUACGCACUAUGGUGGAAAGCCGGGGACCGCAAGGCCUGGCACUAACAGAUGA
rnacentral:rRNA from 1 species